rnacentral:rRNA from 1 species
UGGGGAAUAUUGCACAAUGGGGGAAACCCUGAUGCAGCGACGCUGCGUGAGCGAAGCAGGUUUUCGAAUCGUAAAGUUUGGUCCUAUGAGAAGAUAAUGACGUUAUCAUAGGAGGAAGUCCCGGCUAAAUACGUGCCAGCAGCCGCGGUAAUACGUAUGGGGCGAGCGUUGUCCGGAAUUAUUGGGCGUAAAGGGUACGUAGGCGGUCUAAUAAGUCAGGUGUGAAAGCGUGAGGCUUAACCUCAUUAAGCACUUGAAACUGAUAGACUUGAUUGAAGGAGAGGAAAGUGGAAUUCCUAGUGUAGCGGUGAAAUGCAUAGAUAUUAGGAAGAAUACCGGUGGCGAAGGCGACUUUCUGGACUUUUCCAGACGCUCAGGUACGAAAGCGUGGGGAGCAAACAGG